rnacentral:rRNA from 1 species
ACGAACGCUGGCGGCGUGCUUCACCCCUGCCAGUCGAACGGAAAGGCCCUGCUUUUGUGGGGUGCUCGAGUGGCGAACGGGUGAGUAACACGUGAGUAACCUGCCCUUGACUUUGGGAUAACUUCAGGAAACUGGGGCUAAUACCGGAUAGGAGCUCCUGCUGCAUGGUGGGGGUUGGAAAGUUUCGGCGGUUGGGGAUGGACUCGCGGCUUAUCAGCUUGUUGGUGGGGUAGUGGCUUACCAAGGCUUUGACGGGUAGCCGGCCUGAGAGGGUGACCGGCCACAUUGGGACUGAGAUACGGCCCAGACGCCUACGGGAGGCAGCAGUGGGGAAUAUUGCACAAUGGGCGGAAGCCUGAUGCAGCAACGCCGCGUGCGGGAUGACGGCCUUCGGGUUGUAAACCGCUUUCGCCUGUGACGAAGCGUGAGUGACGGUAAUGGGUAAAGAAGCACCGGCUAACUACGUG